CCUACGGGUGGCAGCAGUGGGGAAUAUUGGGCAAUGGGCGCAAGCCUGACCCAGCAACGCCGCGUGAAGGAAGAAGGCUUUCGGGUUGUAAACUUCUUUUCUCAGGGACGAAGCAAGUGACGGUACCUGAGGAAUAAGCCACGGCUACCUACGUGCCAGCAGCCGCGGUAAUACGGAGGAUGCGAGCGUUAUCCGGAUUUAUUGGGUUUAAAGGGUGCGUAGGCGGACUGUUAAGUCAGCGGUAAAAACCCGGGGCUCAACCCCGGCGAGCCGUUGAAACUGGCUGUCGUGAGAUGUCGAGAGGUAUGCGGAAUGCGCAGUGUAGCGGUGAAAUGCUUAGAUAUUGCGCAGAACUCCGAUUGCGAAGGCAGCAUACCGGCGGCGAUCUGACGCUGAGGCACGAAAGCGUGGGUAUCGAACAGGAUUAGAUACCCUUGUAGUC
rnacentral:rRNA from 1 species